AGAACGAACGCUGGCGGCAUGCCUAAUACAUGCAAGUCGAACGAACACUUCGGUGUUAGUGGCGCACGGGUGCGUAACGCGUGGGAAUCUGCCCUUGGGUUCGGAAUAACAGUUGGAAACGACUGCUAAUACCGGAUGAUAUCGAAAGAUCAAAGAUUUAUCGCCCAGGGAUGAGCCCGCGUAGGAUUAGCUAGUUGGUGAGGUAAAGGCUCACCAAGGCGACGAUCCUUAGCUGGUCUGAGAGGAUGAUCAGCCACACUGGGACAGAGACACGGCCAGACUCCUACGGGAGCAGCAGUAGGGAAUAUUGGACAAGUGGGCGCAAGCCUGAUCCAGCAAUGCCGCGUGAGUGAUGAAGGCCUUA
rnacentral:rRNA from 1 species